rnacentral:rRNA from 1 species
UACAGAGGUCCCAAGCGUUGUUCGGAUUCAUUGGGCGUAAAGGGCGCGUAGGCUGCGGGGUAAGUCGGGUGUGAAAUCUCAGAGCUCAACUCUGAAACUGCACUCGAUACUGCUUUGCUUGAGGACUGGAGAGGAGAUUGGAAUUCACGGUGUAGCAGUGAAAUGCGUAGAUAUCGUGAGGAAGACCAGUGGCGAAGGCGGAUCUCUGGACAGUUCCUGACGCUGAGGCGCGAAGGCCAGGGGAGCAAACGGG